AUGGAGAGUGAAGGGAAAGCUCCCCUUGUUCUGGAGAAAUACAGACUCAUUGUGAUAACUGCAGAGAGACUGGGUGGGAAAGGUCUUCAAAAUCAUUCUCAUGGGAUGGGGAAAGCAUCCUGCUUCACUCUAACACAGGAAGAAAUUCUGACCACUGUACAACGAUUGUUUACCAAACCUCCACGAACUUCUCUUAAAGGUCCAAGAUCACUAAUCAAAUGUUGGUGUGUAUUGUAAAUUACAUUUUGGAGAAUGCUAUAUUUCAAAAACAGUUCCUCCUUUUGCUCACUGCCUAGUUCUGGAUUCACUUUUCCUUGAAAAAAAGAGUUGAUCUCUAGUAUUCACUUGAACUACAGAUGCAAUCCUCAUGGAAUGAGUGAAAGAAUAAAUGUCAUUUAUAGUCUGGGUGGGAAAUAUUU
rnacentral:lncRNA from 1 species